CCAGAGAGAAGCUCCAGAGAGGAGAGAUCCCUCUCCUUUUUUGCCCCAUGCGAUAACAGAGAAAAGACAGCUAUUUAUGAGGAAGUGGGCCCUCACAAACACUGAAUCUGCUGGUGCCUUGAUCAUGCACCUUCUAGCUUCCACAACUGUGAGAAAAUACAUUGCUGAUGUUUAUAUGCCACCUCGCUUAUGGGAGAUUAUGGCAGCCAGAACUGAAUAGGACAAAUACUUGUAGAGCACCUAUUACAUGUGAGCACUACGGGCACAAGAAUAAAGAAAAUAGACCCUAACUUUAAAAAAAAAAAAAAAAAAACGAACAGUCAGCCAGGAGGCUGGCCACUAAAAUGCAAGAGUGCAUGCAGCAGGCACUGUGGGAAGACAGAAGAGUAGAUCCCAGGUGUCUGGGCAGGGCUGUGUGGAGGACAGAAGGUUCUCAGAGCUGUCCUGCAGGAUGCCACGCAGCCUGGGAAGAAGCCAGGAGCCUGGGGGAAUUGUUCUCGCAUCCCAAAUCAGUGGUUCCAGCAACUGUCAACACAAUAAAACUACAGAACUUGAAAGGGGAAAAUGGGAAAAUAAGCACAGAAGGACAGAUGUGCACCAGGGUGAGGAGAUCCCAACCUCUUUAUUAGAGAAAAGACCGGCAACCCUGCGGCUGGGGCUGGUCACAGAAAGGGGGCCUUGUGAGAGGGGCUGCGAUGAGGCAGAUGGAUGCCAAACCUCAAAAGGCUUUGCUGCUGUGCUAGCAAAUUUAGUUUCCUCCCACAGCUGGUCAGGAGCCCAGUGAACUCUAAGCAGGAAACUGCACUGAUCAGAAGAUAAUUUCAUAGUAACUACUCCGACAGCACAGAGAAGCGAUGGAGAAGGAAGGGAAGAAGGGAAAGCCACUGAAUGGCCCACUUGAGACCAGAAAAGCAGAGAACAACACUGUCAGUCUGGAGUAAGUGACAAAAAUAAGAAAGGGAAGUCUAUCCUGAUGCCCAGCCAGGGAAAAAUGGGAAGAAAGAGAAGAGAAGAGAAGAGACAGAGAGGUUAUCGCAGGAGUGGGACUGGUGACUAAAGAGGAAAUGAGACCUAAGCUAGCCUCCUUGCCAUGUGAUACUCUGCACCACCUUGAGACUCUGCAGAGAGUACCCACCAACAAGGAAGCUCUCACCAGAUGCGCCCCCUUGACCUUGGACUUCUCCACCUCCAGAACAGUACAAAAUAAAUUUCAUUUCUCAUAAAUUACUCAGUUUCAGAAAUCCUGUUUAAGCAACAGAAAAUGGACUAAGCUACUGCCCUGCUGAUCAGCCAGCCACCUGUACAUGUGCACACCCAGAUGACAUAUGCAAGAAUGUUCAGACCAUGGUAGAUGUUUCCAAAGAUGGCCCCCAUCAAGUCCUUACCCCUGUGCAUGCAUAUGCCCCUUCUCCCAUUCAGUUACCCCCCUUCCCUUGAGACUGAGUUGGUGCUGUAACUGCUUUUACCAAUAGGAUGCAGACAAAAAUAAUGUUCUGAGAAUUUCGAGAUCAAAACCUAACAGACUGAUAGCUUCCAUGUCCUUCUUCUUGGAACAUUCACUCAUAGAAUGCUCCCUCUCAGAACACAGAUACCAUGAGAGAAGUCCAACCGGGUCAUGUGGAGAGGCCACAUGGAAAAGAACUGAGGCCCAACAGCCCACACCACCUUCCAGUCAUGGGAAUGAACCUUAUUGGAUGUUCCAGCUUUGUCAAACCCCCAGAUGGCUUCAGACCCAACCAAGUUUAUGUGAAACAGAAGAGUCACACAGCUGAACCCACUCAACCCACUAAAUUGUGAGAGAUAAUAACAGGUUGUUGUUUGAAGCCACUACACUUUUUUGUGGUUAUGCCGCAACAGAAAAAUGAAACGCAGACCUCUCAAAAUCACAAGUCCACACUGUGAAUAUAUAAAUUUUAGCAAAGCACCCACUAUAGGCCUGCUUCUUUAAUAUAUAUUUUCUCAGUUAAUGCUCAAAACUAUGCUAAGACAUCAGCUUUCUCAUGGCAGAGAGAUUAUGUAAGAGGCAGAACUGAAACUCAAGGCACACUUCCUGGCCCUAAUUGAUGUGUUUGUCUCACUGCAUCUCAGAAGCUGGGACAAGUGACUCUGCGGGGUCAAUUCUCAGCUCUCUGAACAUGUAUCUGCUUUGGGGAUCAGUAUUACCAUGUGUGUUUUCAGGAUCAUGCUCUUCUAUCAUGUAGCCACCAAUGUGCGGCAAUGGAGAACUUUUUAUACAGUAUCCUAACAAAAAUUAGGAAGUCAUCAUUAGAUUCCCCCAAUCAAAUGUAUAAGACAGUACAGAAACAUAAUAAAAGCACAUCUAAAAGCCUCUUGGUAGAUUCAUGCAUCAGAUAAGAUGAUGGGUUAUACAAACUCUGAAGUCCUUUUUCUUCCAGCAAUCUAUGACCUGCCAAGCGCUGUGCAUAAUUCCUUACGUGCAUGAUCUCAUUUAACUUUCUCAAUAAGCCUAUACUUAUAAAGCAGAAACUGUUUUCUUUAGAGGUCUUUGGGGUCUUACUCUGUUACCCUGCUUGGUAUGCAGUGUGCAAACACAGCUCACUUUAACCUCAAACUCCUACACUCAGGACAUCCUCCCACCUCCACCUCCUGAGUAACUGGAACUACAGGCAAACACCACCGUGAGCAGCUAAUUUAACUUAUUUAUGUAUUUAUUUUUUAUUUGUUUAUUUUUAUCUUUUUUUAUUUUUUUAUUUUUUUGAGACAGAGUCUCGCUCUGUCGCCCAGGCUGGAAUACAGUGGCGCCAUCUCGGCUCACUGCAACCUCCACCUCUUGGGUUCAAGCAAAUCUCCUGCCUCAGCCUCCCAAGUAGCUGGGAUUACAAGUGCCCACCACCAUGCCUGGCUAAUUUUUUUUUUUUUUUUUUUUUUGUAUUUUUAGUAGAGACAGGGUUUCACCAUGUUGACCAGGCUGGUCUCGAACUCCUGACCUCAGGUGAUCUGCCCGCCUCCACCUCCCAAAGUGCUGGGAUUACAGGUGUGAGCCACUUUGCCCGGCAGUAACUGCUUUUAUCUCCACCUUAUAGAUGAGAAAACUAAGGCUUAGAGAAGCAAGAACACAGAAAUAGUAAGUGGCAGAGCCAAGAUUAAACACCACAGGUCUCCCAGAUCCACAGUCUAAAUUUUGUCAUAAAAUAUACAGUUUCCAUUCCUGCACUAGGAACAUAAUUUGUGGACUUGCUUGGAUUAUACAUAUUCCAAGAAAUUGUCCCAACUCCCAAAGAGCCAUCCCAGCUGCACCACAGGUCAUGAGGUGUGCAAGAAUCUAUCUGGUACAGCAUAAAACCAUGGAAGCUGCAGGUAAAGCCAGAACCCAAGCCAACUUCCACUUCCCACCCUGGGGAGAAGUUGGAGACUGAGUGUAUAAACACUAAGCCUACAAAUCUGCACCAACUGUUCUAUGGAAUAAACUUCUGAAUUGCAGCUCUAGUUUAUCUUUCAGAACAAGGCCAAGCAAUAACUCCGUAAAGAAAUGCCUACAAGGAUGACCUCUGGAAACACUUCAUAAUUUAAAAACCAGAAUAGCUGGGCACCACUGAUCCCACAGCCAAGUAGGUCAAGGCUGUGGCCCCUGCCAGUUCUACAAAUUCAUAUCUGCUUUAUCUGAAUUCAUUCAGGGUCAUGAAUAGAAGGGUAGGUUAUCUGAAGUUCUGACGUCUUCCCUUCAUUACCAGACAUACCAGCCAACAACUGGGUUUUAGGGUACUGAGUACAAGGACAUCUGGCUCAACAAAACUGAACAAGUCAGAAUUUGCGGUUGGGAACAGAGGUCAUUAAAGGAUUUACACAGCAAAGAGCAUGUCAGUGUGAUCUCCAAAUUUAAGGUAACAUUUCAGAGAAGGUUUCAUAUCAGAUCAACAUAAAACCAAUUUAAAUCUAUAAUAAACUCCAUUUCUUCAUCUUGUAUCUUAAUGCUAAAAUGUACUCUGCAAAACACAGGAUGCUAAACUAUGCACCCUGGAUAUAUUCACAGAUAGGAAUUACUUCCAGAAAGAGCAUGAACUAGUAAGCAUAUUACAGGAAAAUUAAUUUUUAUAAGUUUUUUUCUUACAAAAAUCAGAGUCUUUACACAGUAUCCUAACAAAAAUUAGGAAGUUUCAUUAGAUUUCCACUAUCAAAUUUACAAGGCAAUAUAGAAACAUAGUAAAAGCACAUUUAAAAGCCACUUGGUAGAUUUAUGCAUUAGAUAAGGUGAUAAAUUAUAUGACCUCUAAAGUUCUAUUUCAUAUAUGUAUAUAUAUUUGCAUAAGAAACUAAAUCACAAAGGACAAGUUUAUCUCUAUAAUAAAUCUUUCAAAAAAUAUUCUGACUUUCCACACUGAAAUAUUUAAGUUUUAGGUAAGAGGUAGAUAAGGUAAGUGGUGAUUCUCAUUUAUUUCAAAGCCAGAGUCUACUAACACCCAUAAUUCAUAAGCACUAAACCCACGGGAAAGAGGGAAGGAAGACAACAUAAAGGAGGGAAGGAGCAAAGAAAUAAAGGAGAGAGAAUAGAAAGGAAGGAAGAAAAGAAAGGAAGGAGAAAGAAGGGAGGAAGGAGGAGGGAGGGGACUAAAGGAAGGGAGGGGUGAGGAAGGAGGAAGGAAGAGAGGAGGGCAGGGAGGGAAAACCACCCACCGCUGGGCUGUGAUAAAUGACAAUAAAUCCCAAAACCCUGAAAACCUGAAAACUGCAAUCUACAAUUCACUGAUCAGUUCAGUAGUCACUAGGUAAGAAGCAAAACUUGAGUCCAGCUGUCAUGAAAAUCAAGAAAUGUAAAUGAAACAAAAAGGAAAAAAAAAUGUCAUGACAAAAGAAAGAAUAUCGGGGACAGUUAAAAAUAGGAGGAAGAUCUAACUGCCUUUUUUGCAGAAAUUAACAAGCCUAAAAUUCAUAUGGAAAUACAAGGUAACCAAAAUAGCCUAAACAGUCUUGAAAAAGAAGAAAGCUGGAGGCCUCACACUUCCUGAUUUCACAACUUUUUACAAAGCAAAAGUAAUCAAGACUAUGUGGUACUGGCAUAAGGACAAAAACAUAGAUCAAUGGAAAUCAAAUGGAGACUAUGGGAAUAAACUCACACAUUUAUGGUCAAUUGAUUUUUUACAAGGGUGAUACGAAAAUCCAAUGGCGCUAAGAAAAUCCAAUGGCAAAAGAAUGGUGUUUUCAACAAAUGAUGCUGGGACAAUUAGAUAUCCACAUGCAAAAGAAUGAAGCUGGCCCCCUAACUCACAUGAUAGAUAAAAAUUAACUCAAAAUGGAGCAAUGACCUAACUGUAAGAGCAAAAAUAUCUAACUCUUAGAAGAAAACAUAGGUGUAAAUCUCUGUGACAUUGAAUUGGGCAAUGCUUUCUUACGUAAGACAACGAAAGCACAAACAACAAAAGAAAAAACAGAUAAAUACGGACUUCAUCCAAAUUAAAACAUUUUGUGCUUCAAAAGACAUUAUCAAGAAAAUGAAAAACAACCCACAAGAUGAUAGAAAAUAUUUGCAAAUCAUAUAUUUGAUAAGGGGCUUGUAUCCAGAAUAGAUACAGACUAUUACAACUCAGGAAUAAAAUGACCAAUUUAAAAAUAAGCAAAGAAUCUGAACGGACAGUUCUCCAAAGAUAUACAAAUGGCCAACAAACACAUGAACAGAGGUCAACACCAUUAGUCAUUAGGUAAAUGCAAAUCAAAACCACAGUAAGGUACCACUUCACAUCCACUAGGAUGGCUUAAUAAAAGACAAGAUAAUAACAAGCACUGGUGAAGAUGUUGAGAAACUGGAACCUUCAUUCAUUGUUGGUACGACAAAAUGGUACAGCCACUUUAG
rnacentral:lncRNA from 1 species